ACAACGAAGAGUUUGAUCCUGGCUCAGGAUGAACGCUAGCGACAGGCUUAACACAUGCAAGUCGAGGGGCAGCAUGAUUUGUAGCAAUACAGAUUGAUGGCGACCGGCGCACGGGUGAGUAACGCGUAUGCAACUUACCUAUCAGAGGGGGAUAGCCCGGCGAAAGUCGGAUUAAUACCCCAUAAAACAGGGGUCCCGCAUGGGAAUAUUUGUUAAAGAUUCAUCGCUGAUAGAUAGGCAUGCGUUCCAUUAGGCAGUUGGCGGGGUAACGGCCCACCAAACCGACGAUGGAUAGGGGUUCUGAGAGGAAGGUCCCCCACAUUGGUACUGAGACACGGACCAAACUCCUACGGGAGGCAGCAGUGAGGAAUAUUGGUCAAUGGCCGAGAGGCUGAACCAGCCAAGUCGCGUGA
rnacentral:rRNA from 1 species